rnacentral:rRNA from 1 species
UACGUAGGGACCAAGCGUUGUUCGGAUUUACUGGGCGUAAAGGGCGCGUAGGCGGCAAUUCAAGUCAUCUGUGAAAUCUCCGGGCUUAACUCGGAACGGUCAGAUGAUACUGCUUUGCUAGAGUGCGGAAGGGGCAAUCGGAAUUCUCGGUGUAGCGGUGAAAUGCGUAGAUAUCGAGAGGAACACCUGCGGCGAAGGCGGGUUGCUGGGCUGACACUGACGCUGAAGCGCGAAAGCUAGGGGAGCGAACGGG